rnacentral:tRNA from 1 species
UUUUAUUUAGUUUAAUAUAAAAUGAUUACUUGUCAAGUAAAAGAUGUGUAUCAAUAUAGU